GGAUUGUAAAGCUCUUUCGCGCGGGGACGAUAGAUGACGGUACCCGCAGAAGAAGCCCCGGCUAACUUCGUGCCAGCAGCCGCGGUAAUACGAAGGGGGCUAGCGUUGUUCGGAUUGACUGGGCGUAAAGGGCAUGUAGGCGGAUUGUUCAGUCAGGUGUGAAAUCCCCGAGCUCAACUCGGGAACUGCCUUUGAUACUGGAAGUCUAGAGUGUGAUAGAGGUUAGUGGAAUUCCGAGUGUAGAGGUGAAAUUCGUAGAUAUUGGGAAGAACACCAGUGGCGAAGGCGGCUAACUGGAUCAUUACUGACGCUGAGGCGCGAAAGCGUGGGGAGCAAACAGGAUUAGAUACCCUGGUAGUCCACGCUGUAAACGAUG
rnacentral:rRNA from 1 species